GCUGGGCGUGGUGGCUCACGCCUGUAAUCCCAGCACUUUGGGAGGCCGAGGUGGGUGGAUCACCUGAGGUCAGGAGUUCAAGACCAGCCUGACCAACAAGGAGAAACCCUGUCUCUA
ensembl:misc_RNA Metazoa_SRP Metazoan signal recognition particle RNA